CACGUAGGGGCCAAGCGUUGUCCGGAUUUAUUGGGCGUAAAGAGCUCGUAGGCGGUUCGGUAAGUCAGGUGUGAAACCUCCAGGCUCAACCUGGAGACGCCACCUGAUACUGCUGUGACUGGAGUCCGGUAGGGGAGCGUGGAAUUCCUGGUGUAGCGGUGAAAUGCGCAGAUAUCAGGAGGAACACCAGCGGCGAAGGCGGCGCUCUGGGCCGGUACUGACGCUGAGGAGCGAAAGCGUGGGUAGCAAACAGG
rnacentral:rRNA from 1 species